UACAGAGGUGGCUAGCGUUGUUCGGAUUUAUUGGGCGUAAAGGGUCCGUAGGCGGUUCGGAAAGUCGGAUGUGAAAUCCCACAGCUCAACUGUGGAACUGCAUUCGAAACUUCCGGACUUGAGUGUGAGAGGGGUAAAGGGAAUUCCCGGUGUAAGGGUGAAAUCUGCAGAGAUCGGGAGGAACACCAGUCGCGAAGGCGCUUUACUGGCUCACUACUGACGCUCAGGGACGAAAGCUAGGGGAGCAAACGGGAUUAGAACCGUACCGC
rnacentral:rRNA from 1 species